rnacentral:rRNA from 1 species
GAUGAACGCUGGCGGCGUGCUUAACACAUGCAAGUCGAACGAGAAGUGAAGACGGAAACCUUCGGGCGGAAGGCUUUAUUUCGAGUGGCGGACGGGUGAGUAACGCGUGGGUAACCUGCCUCAUACAGGGGGAUAACAGUUGGAAACGACUGUUAAUACCGCAUAAGACCACAGCACCGCAUGGUGCGGGGGUAAAAACUCCGGUGGUAUGAGAUGGACCCGCGUUCGAUUAGCCAGUUGGCGGGGUAACGGCCCACCAAAGCGACGAUCGAUAGCCGAGCUGAGAGGAUGACCGGCCACAUUGGGACUGAGACACGGCCCAAACUCCUACCGGAGGCAGCAGUGGGGAAUAUUGCACAAGGGGGGAAACCCUGAUGCAGCGACGCCGCGUGAGUGAAGAAGUAUUUCGGUAUGUAAAGCUCUAUCAGCAGGGAAGAAAAUGACGGUACCUGAGUAAGAAGCCCCGGCUAACUACGUG